rnacentral:RNase_P_RNA from 1 species
GAAGUUCGCCAGGCAACCGCUGAUCACGCAAGUGGUUGGAGGAAAGUCCGGGCCCCACAGGGCGGGAUGCCGGCUAACGGCCGGGCGCUAUAAGUCGGACGGCGCAAGCCGUUCGGCCCAAGGCGACAGACAGUGCAACAGAAAGAUACCGCCUAAGUUCGACUUUGACGCCGCAAGGCGACAAAGUCCCCCUCCUGAAGAGGAGGGGAGAGAACCGGUAAGGGUGAAAUGGUGGGGUAAGAGCCCACCGCGGACGUGGUAACACGGACGGCAUGGCAAACCUCAUUCGGGGCAAGGCCAAAUAGGGGAGUAAUGGCGUGGCCCGCGUCGCUCCCGGGUAGGCUGCUAGAGGCCGUCGGUAACGGCGGUCCCAGAGGAAUGGUUGCCCACGACAGAACCCGGCUUAUCGGCGGACUUCCCAC